UGGGAAAUUCAAUACAAUAACAAUAAUAUCUCAACAAGAGCAAUACGCAGCGGAUAACAAUUUCCCAACUUGCAAGAAUCUGUGAGGAGCAAUAUCAAAUAAUGGCAGCAACACAAAACACACUUCAAGAAGACACAAGAAUUUUAACGUGGAAAACCUUCUCAAUGUGAGAAGUAAAAACCACGGGCACAAGCCAGUCAAUCAAGGUUCCACUAUGAUCAAAAAAUAUGGUUACAAGAGACUCAAAUCACAGCACAAUUUGUGCUCAAUGACCAGCCAAAUACCAAUACAACAGAGAUGAAAACAGAGAACAAGGAACCUGAAAAAUUCACAAACUGCAGUUACCGUACACGGCCUAUAUGUCACUAUUCCAGUGACUUUUGAACAAUCCGAACGGUCAAACUGAAGAACCACAAGGUAUGAACCUGCUGACGAAAUUUCAACCCGAUCCAACGGUGGACGAAACUGCAGCAGCAAUCUGAAAAUUCCCGUUCUCAAAAGAAACGCUGAAAAACGCUGCUGCAGUGUGAGAUA
rnacentral:lncRNA from 1 species